CUGAUGCUUGCGGCUAUUGUUGCUGCUGCUGCAUGGCCUGCACUACUUCGGUGAGGCCUCUGACCUGCUGAACCAGUAAGUCAAACUGCUCCAUACUGACUGCCGUUGCCGGAGGAGGAGGAGGAGCCUGAAAAACUGAAGAUGAGAUCGGAUCUUGCGGAGCUCGCUGAGAUCUGGCCGUGGAGGUGGUAGAUCGCCUGGUGGAUGCCUUUCAGAGAGGC
rnacentral:lncRNA from 1 species